AUUGAACGCUAACGGCGUGCUUAACACAUGCAAGUCGAGCGGCAGCAUGAUCUGUAGCAAUACAGAUUGAUGGCGAGCGGCGGACGGGUGAGUAACAUAUAGGAAUCUGCCUUGUAGUGGGGGAUAACCCGGGGAAACUCGGGCUAAUACCGCAUAAUCUCUACGGAGCAAAGUGGGGGACCGUAAGGCCUCACGCUAAAAGAUGAGCCUAUAUUGGAUUAGCUAGUUGGUGAGGUAAUGGCUCACCAAGGCGACGAUCCAUAGCUGGUCUGAGAGGAUGAUCAGCCACACUGGGACUGAGACACGGCCCAGACUCCUACGGGAGGCAGCAGUGGGGAAUAUUGGACAAUGGGCGCAAGCCUGAUCCAGCAACGCCGUGUGUGUGAAGAAGGCCUUCGGGUUGUAAAGCACUUUUAGUUGGGAAGAAAAGCUUAUGGUUAAUAACCAUGAGUGAUGACGUUACCAACAGAAAAAGCACUGGCUAACUCUGUGCCAGCAGCCGCCGUAA
rnacentral:rRNA from 1 species